rnacentral:rRNA from 1 species
GACGAACGCUGGCGGCGUGCCUAAUACAUGCAAGUAGAACGCUGAAGGAGGAGCUUGCUUCUCUGGAUGAGUUGCGAAAGGGUGAGUAACGCGUAGGUAACCUGCCUGGUAGCGGGGGAUAACUAUUGGAAACGAUAGCUAAUACCGCAUAAUAGUAGAUGUUGCAUGACAUUUACUUAAAAGGUGCAAUUGCAUCACUACCAGAUGGACCUGCGUUGUAUUAGCUAGUUGGUGGGGUAACGGCUCACCAAGGCGACGAUACAUAGCCGACCUGAGAGGGUGAUCGGCCCAACUGGGACUGGGGCACGGCCCAGACUCCUACGGGAGGGAACAGUAGGGAAUCUUCGGCAAUGGACGAAAGUCUGAACGAGCAACGCCGCGUGAGUGGAGGAGGGUUUCGGAUCGUAAAACUCUGUUGUAUGAGAAGAACGAGUGUGAGAGUGAAAAGUUCACACUGUGACGGUAUCUUACCAGAAAGGGACGGCUAACUACGUG